rnacentral:rRNA from 1 species
GACGAACGCUGGCGGCGUGCUUAACACAUGCAAGUCGAACGGAAAGGCCCUGCUUUUGUGGGGUGCUCGAGUGGCGAACGGGUGAGUAACACGUGAGUAACCUGCCCUUGACUUUGGGAUAACUUCAGGAAACUGGGGCUAAUACCGGAUAGGAGCUCCUGCUGCAUGGUGGGGGUUGGAAAGUUUCGGCGGUUGGGGAUGGACUCGCGGCUUAUCAGCUUGUUGGUGGGGUAGUGGCUUACCAAGGCUUUGACGGGUAGCCGGCCUGAGAGGGUGACCGGCCACAUUGGGACUGAGAUACGGCCCAGACUCAUACGGGAGGAAGCAGUGGGGAAUAUUGCACAAUGGGCGGAAGCCUGAUGCAGCAACGCCGCGUGCGGGAUGACGGCCUUCGGGUUGUAAACCGCUUGCGCCUGUGACGAAGCGUGAGUGACGGUAAUGGGUAAAGAAGCACCGGCUAACUACGUG